GGUCAUCGCUCAGGGGCAGAGCACCUGCCUUGCAUGCAGAAGGUAUCAGGUUCAAUCCCCAGCAUCUCCA